rnacentral:rRNA from 1 species
AUUGAACGCUGGCGGCAUGCUUUACACAUGCAAGUCGAACGGUAACAGGCCUUCGGGUGCUGACGAGUGGCGAACGGGUGAGUAAUGCAUCGGAACGUGCCCAAUCGUGGGGGAUAACGUAGCGAAAGUUACGCUAAUACCGCAUAAGCCCUGAGGGGGAAAGCAGGGGAUCGCAAGACCUUGCGCGAAUGGAGCGGCCGAUGUCAGAUUAGCUAGUUGGUGGGGUAAAGGCCUACCAAGGCGACGAUCUGUAGCGGGUCUGAGGGGAUGAUCCGCCACACUGGGACUGAGACACGGCCCAGACUCCUACGGGAGGCAGCAGUGGGGAAUUUUGGACAAUGGGCGCAAGCCUGAUCCAGCCAUGCCGCGUGCGGGACGAAGGCCUUCGGUUGUAAACCGCUUUCUAGCCGGAAGAAAUCGCCAAGGCUAAUAUCCUUGGUGGAUGACGGUACCGGAAGAAGAAG